rnacentral:rRNA from 1 species
AUUGAACGCUGGCGGCAGGCCUAACACAUGCAAGUCGAGCGAGCGGCGGACGGGUGAGUAAUGUCUGGGAAACUGCCUGAUGGAGGGGGAUAACUACUGGAAACGGUAGAUAAUACCGCAUACCAUCAGAUGUGCCCAGAUGGGAGUAGCUUGUAGGUGGGGUAACGGCUCACCUAGGCGACGAUCCCUAGCUGGUCUGGGAGGACGACCAGCCGCACUGGAACUGAGACACGGUCCAGACUCCUACGGGAGGCAGCAGUGGUGAAUGUUGGGCAAUGGUCGGGAGCAUGAUGCAGCCAGGCCGCGUGUGUGAAGAAGGCCUUCGGGUUGUAAAGCACUUUCAGCGGGGAGGCGUUACCCGCAGAAGAAGCACCGGCUAACUCCGUGCCAGCAGCCGCGGUAAUAC